GGGAUUGCCCUAGUAACGGCGAGUGAAGCGGCAACAGCUCAAAUUUGAAAUCUGGCGUCUUUGGCGUCCGAGUUGUAAUUUGCAGAGGGCGCUUUGGCAUUGGCAGCGGUCCAAGUUCCUUGGAACAGGACGUCACAGAGGGUGAGAAUCCCGUACGUGGUCGCUAGCCUUUACCGUGUAAAGCCCCUUCGACGAGUCGAGUUGUUUGGGAAUGCAGCUCUAAAUGGGAGGUAAAUUUCUUCUAAAGCUAAAUACUGGCCAGAGACCGAUAGCGCACAAGUAGAGUGAUCGAAAGAUGAAAAGCACUUUGGAAAGAGAGUUAAAAAGCACGUGAAAUUGUUGAAAGGGAAGCGCUUGCAGCCAGACUUGCCUGUAGUUGCUCAUCCGGGUUUCUACCCGGUGCACUCUUCUAUAGGCAGGCCAGCAUCAGUUUGGGCGGUUGGAUAAAGGUCUCUGUCAUGUACCUCCUUUCGGGGAGAACUUAUAGGGGAGACGACAUGCAACCAGCCUGGACUGAGGUCCGCGCAUCUGCUAGGAUGCUGGCGUAAUGGCUGUAAGCGGCCCGUCUUGAAACACGGACCAAGGAGUCUAACAUCUAUGCGAGUGUUUGGGUGUCAAGCCCGAGCGCGUAAUGAAAGUGAACGGAGGUGGGAACCUUUCGGGGUGCACCAUCGACCGAUCCUGAUGUCUUCGGAUGGAUUUGAGUAAGAGCAUAGCUGUUGGGACCCGAAAGAUGGUGAACUAUGCUUGAAUAGGGUGAAGCCAGAGGAAACUCUGGUGGAGGCUCGCAGCGGUUCUGACGUGCAAAUCGAUCGUCAAAUUUGGGCAUAGGGGCGAAAGACUAAUCGAACUAUCUAGUAGCUGGUUCCUGCCGAAGUUUCCCUCAGGAUAGCAGUAACGUUUUCAGUUUUAUGAGGUAAAGCGAAUGAUU
rnacentral:rRNA from 1 species